AGGCUCUGGGGUGUAACACGUAGGAUUGCAAAUCCUGAGAAGCAGGUAGUGCCUGCCGGAGCUUC
rnacentral:tRNA from 1 species